CACGUAGGCACCAAGCGUUGUCCGGAUUUAUUGGGCGUAAAGAGCUCGUAGGCGGUUGAGUAAGUCGGGUGUGAAAACUCUGGGCUUAACCCAGAGCCGCCACCCGAUACUGCUCUGACUUGAGUUCGGUAGGGGAGCAGGGAAUUCCUAGUGUAGCGGUGAAAUGCGCAGAUAUUAGGAGGAACACCGGUGGCGAAGGCGCUGCUCUGGCCGAUACUGACGCUGAGGAGCGAAAGCGUGGGUAGCAAACAGG
rnacentral:rRNA from 1 species